GGAGAGCCUGGACCACAGCACCAAUGGUUUGGACCAUCACUCUGCACAUGGACCAGAAAACCGAUAGUGUGUACAUCUGGGACCGUAGAGGCCAUUGUGCCAAGGACAUGGGGCAUGCCUUCUGAGAAUGAAGCCAACACAGAGGAUGACAGAGACCAGACAUGGCCAGAGACAAAUUCCUGAUUAUAUCAUGAACACCUGGAUCCAUCCAUGCUUGAAGGCUGCAAGUAUGGCUUAGUACAGCAGAUGGAUGCAGGACCUGUAAGAAG